rnacentral:tRNA from 1 species
GCGAUGUAGCUCAGUUGGCUAGAGCACAUGGUUCAUACCCAUGGUGUCGGGGGUUCAAUUCCCUCCGUCGC